rnacentral:rRNA from 1 species
CCAGCAGCCGCGGUAAUUCCAGCUCCAAUAGCGUAUAUUAAAGUUGUUGCAGUUAAAAAGCUCGUAGUUGGACAUCGGGCGCGUGCGCGUGGUCCGCCGAAAGGUGUGCACCGUGUUUAUCAGCGCGCGUCCUCUUUCCGUAGACCGCGUGUGCCCUUAACUGGGUGUGCGACGGGGAUGCGGAUCGUUUACUUUGAAUAAAUUAGAGUGUUCAAAGCAGGCUUUCGCUUGGAUACAUUAGCAUGGAAUAAUGGAAUAGGACUUUGGUUCUAUUUUGUUGGUUUCUAGGACCGAAGUAAUGAUUAAUAGGGAUAGUUGGGGGCAUUAAUAUUUAAUUGUCAGAGAUGAAAUUCUUGGAUUUAUGAAAGAUUAACUUCUGCGAAAGCAUUUGCCAAGGAUGUUUUCAUUAAUCAAGAACGAAAGU